GUGGGGAAUCUUGCGCAAUGGGCGAAAGCCUGACGCAGCCAUGCCGCGUGAAUGAUGAAGGUCUUAGGAUUGUAAAAUUCUUUCACCGGGGACGAUAAUGACGGUACCCGGAGAAGAAGCCCCGGCUAACUUCGUGCCAGCAGCCGCGGUAAUACGAAGGGGGCUAGCGUUGCUCGGAAUUACUGGGCGUAAAGGGAGCGUAGGCGGAUAGUUUAGUCAGAGGUGAAAGCCCAGGGCUCAACCUUGGAAUUGCCUUUGAUACUGGCUAUCUUGAGUAUGGAAGAGGUAUGUGGAACUCCGAGUGUAGAGGUGAAAUUCGUAGAUAUUCGGAAGAACACCAGUGGCGAAGGCGACAUACUGGUCCAUUACUGACGCUGAGGCUCGAAAGCGUGGGGAGCAAACAGGAUUAGAUACCCGGGUAGUCC
rnacentral:rRNA from 1 species